UACAAAUCGGACUAGGAUAUAGCUGGUUUUCUGCGAAAUUUGUUUUAGCAAGUUGUUUAUAAAGGUUACUAGUGGGUAUAGCACUGAAUAUCUAGUUUGUAAGGAGGGAAUAUUAAUGAUGUUUUCUCGGAUAUUUAAUCUCAGAAUAAUUAGUAACAAAAGUAAAUAAUGGGACUUUUUGCGAUAAGGUGGGAAGUCAAGAGGGAAACAGCCCAGAACAGUUUUAAAGCUCCAAAAUUAAUAUUGAGUGAAAUAAAGGAAGUGGUUUCUCUGUGACAGUUAAGAAG
rnacentral:rRNA from 1 species